UAUUCAUCCUACAAAUCCUAUAAACAACAAAAUUUAUCAAUUAGAAUUUAUGAAAGAAAAUUUGGAUCCUACGCCUGCAAUGAUUGACGAACAUCGUUUUAUUCAUAAGUUUUCAUCAAUAACUGUUGAUAACGAUAAAUCUCCCGAAAAACCUCUGAAAGAAAUAUUCACUUUGCCGUAGGAUUAUUUACUGAAGAAAAAAUAAUAAAAAUUGAAAAACAGGCAAGUCAAAGUUACCAUCUGUGGGGAUCUCUGAUGAAUGGUACAAACAA
rnacentral:lncRNA from 1 species